UACAGAGACCCCGAGCAUUAUCCGGAAUUACUGGGCGUAAAGCGUGAGUCACUGGUCGUGUUAGUCUGAUGUAAAACCAUGGGGCCCAACUUCAUGUCCGCAUCGGAAACGGCACGACUUGAGCGGAUGAGAGGAGAGUAGAACGUAUGGUGUAGGGGUGAAAUCCACUGAUAUCAUACGGAAUACCAAAAGCGAAGGCAGCUCUCUAGCGUCUUGCUGACAGUCAAUCACGAAAGCGUGGGGAUCAAAAAGG
rnacentral:rRNA from 1 species